AUACAGUUAGCAUUUUAUAACUACAACUAUUUAAUUAAAAAUGUGUUUCUGUCCAAUAGAUCUAAAAAUGCGAUUGCUUUACCAAAGUAGCAAAAGGAAAAAUGGACACUAUUCUAUUGGAAACAGAAAGAAAACCCAGAGUGUUUUUGAGAAGAUAAAGCUUUGGGCUUCUGGAUGGAUGAGAACCAAAGCCAGCAACCACCACAGAAACACUUCACCAGAGGAUCCUGGCCUCACCUGAGCCGCCUCAGGGUCUACAAAGCUGAGAAGUUGGGUAACAGGGACUAGGGGCACUGUGGGGGGAGGGAAAUAUCUAGAGUGGAAGUGGUUGAGAUGCACUCAGCCUCCAGAGGGUCAUAAGCAAAUGCCCGAUAGCCUUGUCUGACAGGCUCAAGGUGGGCAGGGUGAAAGGCGGGUGGCCUUGACCCUGUCUCAGGAGGGUCAGCAGCAAAUGUCUUCAGAAACUUUCCCCCAAAGGACGUGGCCUCUCCCUAGCUGCAUCUGAAGAGGCAGGUCCAAGAAACUGGAACACAGGGAAAAUUCAAAGUUUCUUAUGAACACAACCCAUGUCUUUAACAAUUGCAGAUCAGAAUUUUAAAUCUUUUAGAAGUUAAAAUUUAAGAUCAAAACACAUAAUAACAUUCUGUAGUGAUCAAGUACUUUAAAAGUCAUCUCUCUUAGAUAUAACAGUUGCAAAGGAGAUGUCGUGAUGCAAAUUAGGAUCUGCAGUUUUGAGGACAGAAAAUAUUUUCCUCGGUUUAUUAUUUUUUUAUAUCAAGCGGUUUGAAGGACUUCAUUUUUAACGAAAAGUACUAGAAUUGCAAGCAUUAGAAAAUUGGCUUGAAAAGCUCCAAUUUACAAUAUAGAAGAAAACAAGUACAGCAAAAUUAACAAAGAUAAUAUGACAAGUCAUGUUUGGUAUCUAGAAGACUUCCUUUCUAUAACUCCAACCUGCAUAUUCAGUAUCAUUUUUACUAUUCUUUAGUUGCUUACACAUAGAGCUGUCCAACCACAACAAAAGUUGAAUAAAUGGAUGCACCAUCUAUUACA
rnacentral:lncRNA from 1 species